GAUGAACGCUGGCGGCGUGCCUAACACAUGCAAGUCGAGCGAGAAAUUUAAGAACGAAACUUCGGUCUAGUGAUUAAAUGGAAAGCGGCGGACGGGUGAGUAACGCGUAGGCAACCUGCCCCUUACAGAGGGAUAGCCUCGGGAAACCGGGAUUAAAACCUCAUAACGCAUCAUAAACACAUGUUUGAGAUGUCAAAGAUUUAUCGGUAAGGGAUGGGCCUGCGUCUGAUUAGCUAGUUGGUAAGGUAACGGCUUACCAAGGCAACGAUCAGUAGCCGACCUGAGAGGGUAAUCGGCCACAUUGGAACUGAGACACGGUCCAAACUCCUACGGGAGGCAGCAGUGGGAAUAUUGCACAAUGGGCGAAAGCCUGAACCAGCCAUUCCGCGUGAAGGAAGAAGGCCUUAUGGGUUGUAAACUUCUUUUCUGUAAGAAGAAAAGUCCCGACGAGUCGGGAUGUGACGGUACUAUAGGAAUAAGCAUCGGCUAACUCCGUGCCAGC
rnacentral:rRNA from 1 species